rnacentral:rRNA from 1 species
CACGUGGGUGGCGAGCGUUAUUCGGAUUUACUGGGCGUAAAGGGUCCGCAGGGGGCCUGCCACGCCCGCCGUGAAAUUUCAGGGCUCAACCCUGAACCUGCGGCGGGCACGGGCGGGCUGGAGUGCAGGAUGGGCAGACGGAAUUCCAGGUGUAGCGGUGGAAUGCGUAGAUAUCUGGAGGAACACCGAUGGCGAAGGCGGUCUGCUGGCCUGCAACUGACCCUCAUGGACGAGAGCGUGGGUAGCAAACAGGAUUAGAUACC